rnacentral:ncRNA from 1 species
UGUGGUGGAUUCUCGUUUGAGAAACGUUAUCGAAAUGAGUACGCUUUACACACGCUAACGAGUAGCAAUUGGAGGGCAAGUCUGGUGCCAGCAGCCGCGGUAAUUCCAGCUCCAAUAGCGUAUAUUAAAGUUGCUGCGGUUAAAACGCUCGUAGUUGAAUUGUGGUCUUAGACAACAGUCCCCCUACAAAGGUGUGGCACGGUUGCUCGAGAUCUUCAUUCGUGGUUGCUGUUGUUGCUCUUCAUUGAGUGUCAAUGGUGCCUCGAGAUUUUACUUUGAAAAAAUUAGAGUGCUCAAAGCAGGUUGUGAUGCCUGAAUAAUGGUGCAUGGAAUAAUAGAAUACGAUCUCGGUUCUAUUUUGUUGGUUUUCGAACCGGAGAUAAUGAUUGAAAGGAACAGACGGGGGCAUUCGUAUUGCUGCGUUAGAGGUGAAAUUCUUGGAUCGCAGCAAGAUGAACAAUUGCGAAAGCAUUUGCCAAGAAUGUUUUCAUUAAUCAAGAACGAAAGUUAGAGGUUCGAAGGCGAUCAGAUACCGCCCUAGUUCUAACGGUAAACUAUGCCAACCAGCGAUUCGCCGAAGUUCAUUUAAGACUCGGCGAGCAGCUUCCGGGAAACCAAAGUGUUUCGGUUCCGGGGGAAGUAUGGUUGCAAAGCUGAAACUUAAAGGAAUUGACGGAAGGGCACCACCAGGAGUGGAGCCUGCGGCUUAAUUUGACUCACACGGGAAAACUCACCCGGCCCGGACACUGGAAAGAUUGACAGAUUGACAGCUCUUUCUUGAUUCAGUGGGUAGUGGUGCAUGGCCGUUCUUAGU